AGAGUUUGAUCCUGGCUCAGAUUGAACGCUGGCGGCAUGCCUUACACAUGCAAGUCGAACGGCAGCAUGAUAUGUAGCAAUACAUAUUGAUGGCGAGUGGCGAACGGGUGAGAAAUACAUCGGAACGUGUCCUGUAAUGGGGGAUAACGCAGCGAAAGUUGUGCUAAUACCGCAUACGAUCUACGGAUGAAAGCAGGGGACCGCAAGGCCUUGCGUUAUUGGAGCGGCCGAUGUCUGAUUAGCUUGUUGGCGGGGUAACGGCCCACCAAGGCGACGAUCAGUAGCUGGUCUGAGAGGAUGAUCAGCCACACUGGGACUGAGACACGGCCCAGACUCCUACGGGAGGCAGCAGUGGGGAAUUUUGGACAAUGGGGGCAACCCUGAUCCAGCAAUGCCGCGUGAGUGAAGAAGGCCUUCGGGUUGUAAAGCUCUUUUGUCAGGGAAGAAACGGUGGGGGCGAAUAACUUCUACUAAUGACGGUACCUGAAGAAUAAGCACCGGCUAACUACGUGCCAGCAGCCGCGGUAAU
rnacentral:rRNA from 1 species